GGGAUAAGCCUGGGAAACUGGGUCUAAUACCGGAUAUGACCUUCCAUCGCAUGGUGGUUGGUGGAAAGCUUUUGUGGUUUUGGAUGGACUCGCGGCCUAUCAGCUUGUUGGUGGGGUAAUGGCCUACCAAGGCGACGACGGGUAGCCGGCCUGAGAGGGUGACCGGCCACACUGGGACUGAGACACGGCCCAGACUCCUACGGGAGGCAGCAGUGGGGAAUAUUGCACAAUGGGCGAAAGCCUGAUGCAGCGACGCCGCGUGAGGGAUGACGGCCUUCGGGUUGUAAACCUCUUUCAGUAGGGAAGAAGCGUAAGUGACGGUACCUGCAGAAGAAGCGCCGGCUAACUACGUGCCAGCAGCCGCGGUAAUACGUAGGGCGCAAGCGUUAUCCGGAAUUAUUGGGCGUAAAGAGCUCGUAGGCGGUUUGUCGCGUCUGCCGUGAAAGUCCGGGGCUCAACUCCGGAUCUGCGGUGGGUACGGGCAGACUAGAGUGAUGUAGGGGAGACUGGAAUUCCUGGUGUAGCGGUGAAAUGCGCAGAUAUCAGGAGGAACACCGAUGGCGAAGGCAGGUCUCUGGGCAUUAACUGACGCUGAGGAGCGAAAGCAUGGGGAGCGAACAGGAUUAGAUACCCUGGUAGUCCAUGCCGUAAACGUUGGGCACUAGGUGUGGGGGACAUUCCACGUUUUCCGCGCCGUAGCUAACGCAUUAAGUGCCCCGCCUGGGGAGUACGGCCGCAAGGCUAAAACUCAAAGGAAUUGACGGGGGCCCGCACAAGCGGCGGAGCAUGCGGAUUAAUUCGAUGCAACGCGAAGAACCUUACCAAGGCUUGACAUGAACCGGACCGCUGCAGAAAUGUGGUUUCCCCUUUGGGGCUGGUUUACAGGUGGUGCAUGGUUGUCGUCAGCUCGUGUCGUGAGAUGUUGGGUUAAGUCCCGCAACGAGCGCAACCCUCGUUCUAUGUUGCCAGCACGUGAUGGUGGGGACUCAUAGGAGACUGCCGGGGUCAACUCGGAGGAAGGUGGGGACGACGUCAAAUCAUCAUGCCCCUUAUGUCUUGGGCUUCACGCAUGCUACAAUGGCCGGUACAAAGGGUUGCGAUACUGUGAGGUGGAGCUAAUCCCAAAAAGCCGGUCUCAGUUCGGAUUGGGGUCUGCAACUCGACCCCAUGAAGUCGGAGUCGCUAGUAAUCGCAGAUCAGCAACGCUGCGGUGAAUACGUUCCCG
rnacentral:rRNA from 1 species